AUGCGACUUGUGGCUGCUGUGGUGGCAGUAAAAACAAGGCCUGAAAGCGAGCGCCUCCAGUUUCGUCUGGAUCAGGUCAAGCCCGGCGGAAACACCCAUAAGAUCUGCCUGGUGUGCUCCGAUGAGGCCUCUGGGUGUCAUUAUGGGGUGUGGCUCACCUGUGGCAGCUGCAAAGUUUUUCUUCAAAAGAGCCGUAGAGGGGCAGCACAACUAUCUCUGCGCUGGAAGGAAUGAUUGCAUCAUCGACAAGAUAAGAAGGAAAAACUGCCCGGCAUGCCGCUUUCGCAAGUGUCUCCAGGCCGGCAUGAACUUGGAAGCUCGAAAAAACAAGAAACUGAUGAUGCGAUUACGGUCAUCGUCCUCAAGUGAGCAGGCCCCAGCUCUGCCUGAAGAGCGCAUGUGUUCGCUGGUGCCCAAAGCCAUGCCCAGCUGGUGCCCACCAUGCUGUCCCUGCUCAAAGCCAUUGAGCCUGAGAUCAUUUACGCGGGUUACGACAGCACCAUCCCGGACACCUCCACCCGCAUCAUGACCACACUUAACCGUCUGGGAGGCCGUCAGGUCAUCUCUGCAGUCAAGUGGGCUAAAGCCCUUCCUGGCUUCAGAAACCUGCACCUGGAUGACCAGAUGACGCUGUUGCAGUGCUCCUGGCUCUUCCUCAUGUCCUUCGGCUUGGGCUGGAGAUCCUACCAGCAGUGUAACGGAGGCAUGCUGUGUUUCGCUCCAGACCUCGUCAUCAAUGAGGAGAGGAUGAAACUACCCUACAUGAAUGACCAGUGUAGCCAGAUGCUGAAGAUCACCAGUGAGCUGGUCAGGCUGCAGGUGUCCUACGACGAGUAUCUCUGCAUGAAAGUGCUCCUCCUCCUCAGCACAGUACCAAAGGACGGCCUUAAAAGCCAAGCUGUGUUUGAUGAAAUCCGCAUGUCGUACAUCAAGGAGCUGGGCAAAGCCAUUGUUAAACGCGAGGAGAACUCCAGCCAGAACUGGCAGAGGUUCUACCAGCUCACUAAGCUUUUGGACUCAAUGCAGGAGAUGGUGGAGGGGCUUCUCAACUUCUGUUUCUACACAUUUGUGAAUAAAUCUCUGAGCGUGGAGUUUCCUGAGAUGCUGGCGGAGAUCAUCAGCCAUCAGCUACCAAAAUUUAAAGACGGGAGUGUCAAGCCUCUUCUGUUCCAUCAGAAAUGACUGCCUUAAGAUCAUAACAAUGCCUUAAACGCCACUCUUUUAUUACCAGCGCUAGUCCAGCCUGCCCGUUUUCCCCCAAACAUCUGAAUGAAUUGAGGGAUACAGUCGCUUUUGCUUGAUUCUCAGAGGAAAGAGGUGACUUGCACUCUUCAGAAAUGUUCAUGGAGCAGGUGUACUUGGAGCAGACAGAAUAUGACUUUUAGUGAUAUUUUCUCUCUCUCUCUUUUUUUUUUUUUUUUUGCAUGUACACUGCUGAAAUGUUUACAAAGGUAUAUCAAAAAAGGGAAAUGUGCCUUUUUUGCGCUUUGCGAAUCGAUUUCGAACAUUUCUCAGGCUAACGCAAUGACUUUGCAUUCAGAAUUUCUGUUGAUGAUUCACAUUCAUCACGUCCGUCUCUGCCCGUGUCUAAACCUGCCGCGGUGGUUCUCUGGAAGUGGCAGCUCCAAAUUCUGAAGCAGCCCAUGAAACAUAAGACCAUAUUAUGCUGUUUUUUUAAAUCUCAUCGAAUCUCCAAGCCUGGAGCACCAUGGAAAACCACAAGAUAAUUUGAUUCAAAUCAAAAUCUGUUCCAUGACUGACAUUAAAUACUGAGUUGUUUCUCUGUUUUUUUGAAUAGGUUCCACUGAAAUAUAAUUUGUAGGGAUGGAUAGGUCUCCCAAAAAACUCUUCCCCAAAUUCUUCCACUGUUUAUUCACUCUCAUGUUGUUCCAAACCCGUAGAACACAAAAGUCUUGUAAAAGUGGCUCAUCUGUGACUCAUUCUCUGUGUUCCAAUCUUAUGAAUUCAUACGAUAGCAUGGUGUGAUGAGCAAACCCAAAUCAAAGUCAUUAUUCACUGAAAAUGUCUCCCUUAGUGAGCUGUUGAGAACCAGAUCAGUCUGGUUCAUUUAGACAUUUUAUGAUCAACUGAUUUAAUGUGAAAAUCUGACUCGAAAAACAACACAUUUAUGAAUCAGACAUUUUCGUCAGUCCUCAUUGUUUAUCACUACUUUGGGGGGGGGAAAAGUCCAGGAUUUAAUAUAUAUAUAUAUAUAUAAAUAAAAGAAAACUAUUGUUAGAGAGGGUUUUUUUUUAUGUUGAUUAUUUGCUCAGGUUCACAUAAAAAUGGCCAUUUUUACUUGUAAGCAUUUGGAUAUAAAAGAGAGAGAGGUGAUGGUAAGUCAUGUGAUCUGUGAAUGAGUUCAGGGUUAAUUUGUCAGAUUUCCAUCCAUUCUGGUCAUAUUGAGAUUAGCAUAUCCCAGCAUUCCCCUGCUGUGUGUUCAUGUCAUUCAGUCAGUGUUUGUGCUUGUUUGAAGCUGCACAUCUGCCAACAUCUCAGACUUCUUCUUCUUCUUUUUCUUUUUUCUGUCAUCCUUGAAAACCGUUUUUAAUUUAAAUGUUUUUUUUUUGGAAUGCUCUCUGCAUAUUCUAAAUCCGGUAACCCAUAUGAGGCCCACAAGUUUU